AUGAACGCUAGCUACAGGCUUAACACAUGCAAGUCGCGGGGCAGCAUGGGGGUUGCUUGCAAUCCCCGAUGGCGACCGGCGCACGGGUGAGUAACGCGUAUCCAACCUGCCCUUCACCACGGGAUAACCCGGCGAAAGUCGGACUAAUACCGUAUGUUGUCCAUUGACGGCAUCCGAUUUGGACGAAAGGCUUGGCGGUGAGGGAUGGGGAUGCGUCCGAUUAGCCAGACGGCGGGGUAACGGCCCACCGUGGCUACGAUCGGUAGGGGUUCUGAGAGGAAGGUCCCCCACACUGGAACUGAGACACGGUCCAGACUCCUACGGGAGGCAGCAGUGAGGAAUAUUGGUCAAUGGGCGUAAGCCUGAACCAGCCAAGUAGCGUGCAGGAUGACGGCCCUAUGGGUUGUAAACUGCUUUUAUGCGGGGAUAAAGUGGCCCACGUGUGGGCUUUUGCAGGUACCGCAUGAAUAAGAACCGGCUAAUUCCGUG
rnacentral:rRNA from 1 species